rnacentral:rRNA from 1 species
AUACGGAGGAUCCGAGCGUUAUCCGGAUUUAUUGGGUUUAAAGGGUGCGCAGGCGGCCAUUUAAGUCAGCGGUUAAAUCGUGGGGCUCAACCCCAUUCUGCCGUUGAUACUGGGUGGCUUGAUUGCGGUCGAGGUUGGCGGAAUUCGUUGUGUAGCGGGGAAAUGCAUAGAUAUGACGAAGAACACCGAUUGCGUAGGCAGCUGACCAGACCGCAAAUGACGCUCAUGCACGAAAGUGCGGGGAUCGAACAGGAUUAGAUACCCUGGUAGUCCGCACAGUAAACGAUGAAUACUUGUUUUCGGCGAUAUAAUGUCGGAGGCAAAGCGAAAGCAUUAAGUAUUCCACCUGGGGAGUACGCCGGCAACGGUGAAACUCAAAGGAAUUGACGGGGG